AAGGUUUUAGUUUAAUAAAAACAGCUGAGUUGCAGUCAGUAGAUGUAAUUUAAUGUUUUACAGGCCUU
rnacentral:tRNA from 1 species